AGAUCCCACCAUCGAUAGCGUGCUAAUGACAACCAGCCUCCGCGAAGUAAUAAUGGUCCCGCGGGGGGGAGUGGUAGAGGAAGUGUGUGGGGGGAUAGUUUUUAGUACGUAAGCGCCAUGGAUGGCGAAUCGUGCAUACUGGUACUAAGAACCAGCAGUAUCUUUUGAAGAAUUUCUACCUUCUGCUCACC
rfam:Glossina morsitans morsitans, isolate Yale, WGS project CCAG01000000 data, contig: ctg10013421